AGGAAGUGGACUACAGAGCAGGGCAUUCUGGUAUUUCUAGAAAACCCUCCGCAGGGAGAACAGAGCUGCAUUUCAGUCCUUAUCAGAAGCAGCAUCCAGUAAUAUUCGCAGAGAUGAGCAGAAACGGCAGCAAGGUGGAAAGAAAUAAAAGACGCAACUGAGCAGUGUUUGCGAAUGAAAGAAAGAAGGCUCCCAAGGCGCGGUGCAGAAUUGUCGGCUGGUUUAAAGAUGCUGAG